GUAGUCUGNAACCCGACUACAUGAAGCUGGAAUCGCUAGUAAUCGCGGAUCAGAAUGCCGCGGUGAAUACGUUCCCGGGUCUUGUACACACCGCCCGUCACACCAUGGGAGUCGGAAAUGCCCGAAGUCUGUGACCCAACCUUAGGGAGGGAGCAGCCGAAGGCAGGUCGGAUGACUGGGGUGAAGUCGUAACAAGGUACC
rnacentral:rRNA from 1 species